rnacentral:lncRNA from 1 species
AGUAGAGCUCAAAGAGAUGGCCGAGAAAUGUGUGAGAGAGAGUGAGGAGAGAGAGAGUAUCUUGUCGGAGUCCAUUUGGGGGGCUUGGCGAGUCACGUGGUUCAAUGGCGCACUGUGGCUGUACCUCUACUUGUUGAUGCUUCGUCCCUAAACUCACAGAGGCCAUGUGAAGUGAGAUUGCAAGUCUCUCUCACACACACCCUUUCUCUCUCCACUCUCUUACUCUCUUUUAUUGUUACUGUCAGUUGAAAACCAUUGAGACCAUGUGAUGUGAGAUUGGGGUGUUUUAUUUUGGAAAAUUUUCAUUACUGUCAGAUAAAACCGAUAGAAAAUACUCUAAAACAGACGGAAAAUACAUAUUACCAACAAAAAUAUUUUUUAAAAUAAAAACCGACAAAAAAUUUUCAUUACUGUUGGUUAUAACUGAUAGAAAAAAUUGGAGACAAAAAUUGACACACCCCGAUCCAGAGGAUCCAGGUGUGCUAGCCGUCACGUGGGCGUGACGUAACCAUAAGCACGACACGGAAGCGGAAAAGCAACAUAAAUCAGCAGAAUUUCAAACCAAUUCAAACAUAACCACCUAUGAACAUAACCGGACGAGUUAACAAGUGACCACAUAAGUUCAUAGCAUAGGUUAUCUACAGUCAAGUAGGACUAAAAUAAGAUACAUCACCCUCAGGUGAGUCCUACAUGUCCAAGGUCUGUCAGAAAGCCGGAAAGGACCUCGUGAGCCAACCACCGCUAAACUAGAACCUGGAGGGGCGCAAAACAAAAUGAGUGGGUCAGUAAAACAAAUUAGUUUUCCAAAACAGUUCAUUAAAACAAUUAUAUCCCCUUGCUGUAAAAACCUGUAUACUUUCCCAGAAAUAUAUAACCAUAUAAAAUCUCAAAACUUAAAUCUCAAAUCUUUAACAUUUUCAAGAAAACAUGCCAUGACAUAAAUCAAAAUAUAAAUCAGGUGAAAUAAGGAAUCAAUCGGAGACCCUGCAGUUGGUCCUAU